AGCAGCCGCGGUAAUUCCAGCUCCAAUAGCGUAUAUUAAAGUUGUUGCAGUUAAAAAGCUCGUAGUUGAAUUUCGGGGUCAGUAGGUUGGUCGUGCCAAUGGUAUGUACUGGCUUCACUGAUUCCUCCUUCUUGAAGAACUGUAAUGUCAUUAAUUUGGUGUUGCAGGGAAACAGGACUGUUACUUUGAAAAAAUUAGAGUGUUUAAAGCAGGCUAACGCUUGAAUACAUUAGCAUGGAAUAAUGAAAUAGGACGUUUGACCCUAUUUUGUUGGUUUCUAGGAUCGACGUAAUGAUUAAUAGGGAUAGUUGGGGGCAUUAGUAUUCAAUUGUCAGAGGUGAAAUUCUUGGAUUUAUUGAAGACCGACUACUGCGAAAGCAUUUGCCAAGGAUGUUUUCAUUAAUCAAGAACGAAAGUUAGGGGAUCGAAGACGAUCAGAUACCGUCGUAGUCUUAACCAUAAACUAUAGCCGACUAGGGAUCGGAUGAUGUUAAUUUUUAAUGACUCAUUCGGCGCCUUA
rnacentral:rRNA from 1 species